rnacentral:sRNA from 1 species
GCCGGGCGUGGUGGCGGACGCCUGUAGUCCCAGCUACUCGGGAGGCUGAGGCAGGAGAAUCGCUUGAACCCGGGAGGCGGAGCUUGCAGUGAGCUGAGAUCCGGCCACUGCAUUCCAGCCUGGGCGACAGAGCGAGACUCCGUCUCAA